rnacentral:rRNA from 1 species
GACGAACGCUGGCGGCGUGCUUAACACAUGCAAGUCGAACGGAAAGGCCUGUCCUUCCUUGUGUUGGACGGGUACUCGAGUGGCGAACGGGUGAGUAACACGUGAGUGAUCUGCCCCCAACUUGGGUAUAAGCCUGGGAAACUGGGUCUAAUUCCCGAUAGGACUGCAGGGUGGUGCCUGUGGUGGAAAACGAUUUUCUAGUGGUUGGGGAUGAGCUCGCGGCCUAUCAGCUUGUUGGUGGGGUAAUGGCCUACCAAGGCGGCGACGGGUAGCCGGCCUGAGAGGGUGGACGGGCACAUUGGGACUGAGAUACGGCCCAGACUCCUACGGGAGGCAGCAGUGGGGAAUAUUGCACAAUGGGCGGAAGCCUGAUGCAGCGACGCCGCGUGGGGGAUGACGGCCUUCGGGUGGUAAACUCCUUUCGACCGCGAGGAAGCCGCCUGGUUGGAAGGGUGGUGACGGUAGUGGUAGAAGAAGCACCGGCUAACUACGUG